GACGAACGCUGGCGGCGUGCUUAACACAUGCAAGUCGAACGGAAAGGCCCUGCUUUUGUGGGGUGCUCGAGUGGCGAACGGGUGAGUAACACGUGAGUAACCUGCCCUUGACUUUGGGAUAACUUCAGGAAACUGGGGCUAAUACCGGAUAGGAGCUCCUGCUGCAUGGUGGGGGUUGGAAAGUUUCGGCGGUUGGGGAUGGACUCGCGGCUUAUCAGCUUGUUGGUGGGGUAGUGGCUUACCAAGGCUUUGACGGGUAGCCGGCCUGAGAGGGUGACCGGCCACAUUGGGACUGAGGUACGGCCCAGACUCCUACGGGAGGCAGCAGUGGGGAAUAUUGCACAAUGGGCGGAAGCCUGAUGCAGCAACGCCGCGUGCGGGAUGACGGCCUUCGGGUUGUAAACCGCUUUCGCCUGUGACGAAGCGUGAGUGACGGUAAUGGGUAAAGAAGCGCCGGCUAACUACGUG
rnacentral:rRNA from 1 species